UUUUAAAAUAAAAAUUUAUUUUACAGUGAAAUCAUGGUUGGGCAUUUUUACUGCAUGAAAUUGGAAACUGCUAGAAAUGAAAAUCAAGUUUCCUGUCUUCAACUAUGGAAGAAAGAAAGAGAGGUAAAAGCUGUUAUUUCCCGAGUUCCUUGUCUGCCUGGGAUUAGAAGACCAAGUCUUUCCUAUUUGCUCUGGCAUUGCCUUGGAAGAAGUUAAAUCCCAUGGAGGCAUAGAUCUACAGGUGGAAAAGAACAACAUGCUCCUUUGGUGAAUUUGCACUUUGUCUUACAAGUUAUCUGCGCUGAAUUACGUCUAGUUUCACCACAUUUUCAGUGAAGUUAAACAAGGUCAUUCAGAAAAU